UGCCCGCUGGCGGCGUGCCUACUACAUGCAAGUCGAGCGACCAGACGAGGAGCUUGCUCCUCUGACGUUAGCGGCGGACGGGUGAGUAACACGUGGAUAACCUACCUAUAAGACUGGGAUAACUUCGGGAAACCGGAGCUAAUACCGGAUAAUAUAUUGAACCGCAUGGUUCAAUAGUGAAAGACGGUUUUGCUGUCACUUAUAGAUGGAUCCGCGCCGCAUUAGCUAGUUGGUAAGGUAACGGCUUACCAAGGCGACGAUGCGUAGCCGACCUGAGAGGGUGAUCGGCCACACUGGAACUGAGACACGGUCCAGACUCCUACGGGAGGCAGCAGUAGGGAAUCUUCCGCAAUGGGCGAAAGCCUGACGGAGCAACGCCGCGUGAGUGAUGAAGGUCUUCGGAUCGUAAAACUCUGUUAUUAGGGAAGAACAAAUGUGUAAGUAACUAUGCACGUCUUGACGGUACCUAAUCAGAAAGCCACGGCUAGCUACGUG
rnacentral:rRNA from 1 species